rnacentral:rRNA from 1 species
AGUGGUACGCGAGCUGGGUUCAGAACGUCGCGAGACAGUUCGGUCCUUAUCCACUGUGGGCGCAGGAGAAUUGAGGGGUUCAGAUCCUAGUACGAGAGGACCGGGUCUGACGAACCUCUGGUGUUCCAGUUGUCGUGUCAACGGCAUUGCUGGGUAGCUAUGUUCGGAAAGGAUAAGCGCUGAAAGCAUCUAAGCGCCAAGCCUAUCCCAAGAUGAAUUCUCCCUGAAGAUCCGUGGUAGACCACCACGUUGAUAGGUUGCGGGUGCAAGCACAGCAAUGUGUUCAGCUCAGCAAUACUAAUGAUCGUCCGGCUUGGUCAUUUUUU